rnacentral:rRNA from 1 species
GACGGGGGGGGCAAGUGUUCUUCGGAAUGACUGGGCGUCAAGGGCACGUAGGCGGUGAAUCGGGUUGAAAGUGAAAGUCGCCAAAAAGUGGCGGAAUGCUCUCGAAACCAAUUCACUUGAGUGGGACAGGAGAGUGGAAUUUCGUGUGUAGGGGUGAAAUCCGUAGAUCUACGAAGGAAGGCCAAAAGCGAAGGCAGCUCUCUGGGUCCCUACCGACGCUGGGGUGCGAAAGCAUGGGGAGCGAACAGG